AUGAAGCGGGCUCCAGGCUCUGAGCUGUCAGCACAGAGCCUGACACAGGGCUCCAACUCACAAACUGUGAGAUCAUGACCUGAGCUGAAGUCGGACGCUCAACCGACUGAGCCACCCAGGCGCCAUGAGGAAUUUAAUUUAAUCAACCCUCUGUAUGGAUCAAUUUAAAAUGUGCUGUACCUAAGUAAAUAUAAAUAUAAGGCUCUCUUACACUUCCACCUCUAACAGAUUUCCAUUUCUAACAGAUUUCCAUUUCUAACAGAUAAAAGGCUCACUUUUGGAUAGUGUCUAUAUGUGACUACCAAAUGAUAUUUCAACUAAAAUAGCUGAGGUACUCUGGUUUCCAGAUCAUGGUGUUAUCUUAAAACCAGUCUGUUUUUAAAUGUAGUUUAGAAUGAACAGGACAGUUGACAUUUUCAUGAAAUAUUUUUGGUUUUCACGGAUUCUAGGGAAGCAAUGUCUGUCAAUUGUGUACAGAUUGACCAACUUUUUUUUUUUUUUAACUUUGCACAACUAAAUCUAGAGAAAGAAAAGCAAGAAAUAUUUCUAGACAAAAGCAGAAACCUCUACUCUUUUGGUAGAUUUUCCUAAUUCAAGUUCUCUAAGAUGUAUUAUCAAGGGGGCAGUUGAGUACUUUGACCAACACCUACAAUUAAUUGUUGGAUUCCAUAAAGGAGCUCUCAGUUUUCUUGUGAAGUAUUAUUUUUUUAAACAACAGAGUUGGGAUCCGUAUUGUUUAUGAACUGAGACUAAAACAUUAAAGGGAUUCCUCCUGAUUUCGGUACUCUUCAAGUUAAUGUUUUUAUUAAUAUUAAAUGAUACAAAAAUGGACUACAUUCUGUGUGCUAGACAUAUUACUGAGCACUACAUGCAUUGGUUCAAUUAAUCUUCACAACAACUCCUUGGGUAUAUGUAUUGCCUGUAUUAUUAUUAAUCAUCUUUCUCAAAUCAAGAAUUUGAGGUUUAGAAAGUUGAGGUUAACGAGUCCCCAAAUCACAAAAUUAGUAAGUCGUAGAACUGGUAUUUAAAUCAAAUACUGUCUGACCCCAGAGCUCUCUAAAUACGUUGUAUUUACAUUGUCUCUAAAUAACAUUUUGUAUUCAUAGUGGUUAAAAAGUGAAAGUACAGUUUAUUACUUUGCUUUUCAAAGCAUUAUUGUCAGGCAUGUUUUUAAUAAUAUAUUUCCUGUGUCUUUGAGGGAAAAGGUUCAAACAUAGGUGCUUUCACUUAGGAUUGAAUUUGGAGUCAAGAAAGAGAAAAUGUGUUUUGGUGGUCACCCAGGAUAUGCCUCGUGGUAACAGCUUUGAAUGCUCUUCAGUCCCCUCUGCUGAGGCCAGUUACCACGCUUAUCUUCAUGUUUUUCUUUUUCUAUAAAAUGGGUGAUUUAAACCACAUCAUCUUUAGAUUCAACAGAGCUAUUGCAAGGAAAACUCAGCCUCUAUGUGAGUCACUUCAGAAGAGGUUAGCUCAAAGAUUAUUUGGAAAUGUUUUAUGCUCCUUUUUAGUUGUUUUAUUGUUUAGGGGAAGGAGUGGUAACAUACAAUUUUGGUAUUGUUCUGUUUGGGAAACAAACUUCAACUCAAAUAUUGACUUUUUUUAUCCAUACUUCUGUAAACCAAAGGGAUGGUUGUCUUUUAUAUCUUCAUUGGAAGGACCUCAUAUCAUCCAUUUAAACGACUGCUUGGCCGUUGUAACAAUAAGCACAAUUUAUUAUUCUUCCCUGUUAGACUUUUGGACAGGCAUAUCUGAUCCCUAUUCAUCUGUAUCUGGUAUCCUGAAAACUACUAGACAGAGCCUUUAUAGAUGUCAGGCUACAAAGGGAGAUCAUAAAUUAGGAGAAUCUUCAAGGUCAUCUCUAAUCCAGUCAGUCUUCAGAUUAAUAAAUUGAAGUCAUCGUUAUAUCUGAUCUGAUUAGGGCUACACAACUAAUUAUUAAUAAGAACCUGAGCUAGAGUCAUAGUCUGCUGACUUGAAUCUUGUAUCCUCUUCAUUUGCAAAGAAGUUAGGCAUGUUUUAAAAAAUUUUUUUUAAGUUUAUUUGUUUAUUUUGAGAGAGAGAUUGAGAGCACAAGCGGGGGAGAGGCACAGAAAAGGAGAAACACAAUGCCAAGCAGGCUCCACACCAUCAGGGCAGAACCUGAUGUGCGGCUCAAACUCACAAACUGUGAGAGAUAUGAUCAGAGCUGAGAUCAGAGCUUAACCAACUGCACCACCCAGGCACCACUAGGCAUACUUUUUAAAGAAAGUGAUAUGUAGGGACACCUUGGUAGCUGACUUGGUUGAGCGUCCCAACUCUUAGUUUCACUGCAGAUCAUGAUCUCACAGUUUGUGGGUUCAAGCCCCACAUUGGGCUCUGUGCUGACAGUGCGGAUGGAGUUCACUUGGGAUUCUCUCUCUUCCUUUCUCUCUCUCUCUGCCUCUCCCCGCUCGUGUACUCUCUCUCCUCUAAAAUAAAUAAACAUUAAAAAAAUUUUCUUCAGUGAUAGUAAACCACCAGUGAGAUUAUCUUACCAGUUAUCUCUUUGUGGAAUAAUAAUAAUAUUUUUUUUUUUUUACUAAUCACUAGAUUUCUUAAAGGGACCUAAAUUAUAGUAAGUAUAUUUUCAUAGAAUGUAUACAUUCUUUCUUUUAGACUGUAAAAGAUGUAAUCACUGUUAGCCUUAAGUGGGCAAAAGCAUAUUUAUAUCUAUAAAUAAGUAAACAUCUAUAUAUCUAGACUCCAAAUCUGAAAUGUAGUUAGAUUUUCUGUGUGUUGUCAUUGUGCGGGUCAAAAUGAUAAGAAUAUAGCAUCAAAAUUUAAUCACCCAAGCCAACUUUUAGUAUUGUCAAGGGUCAGUUUAGACUAUGCUACAUGUCUUGCAGUGGUUUCCACAGGAACCUGGGUGUGAUGAUUGAUGUUCCUAAUGGGAUUUAAGGACCUGCAAGGUCCCAAACUGCCCUCUGAAUUAUCAAAGAAAUCUGCUGUUUAACAAAACAGAUGUAUGCCUGACCUUGUUCUACCAAAGAUUCGAGUUGACAGGUUUGCUUUUUUAGGAUGAAGCAUAUUUUUCCUGGUGUUUCUAUUUAAAUUAGGUCAUCUCUAUAUUGUUUAUAGUGAAUCCGUUAUUCAAAAUACUGUUACCCAGGAUAACCCUGCCCACAACCUCUCUGAAAAGGAGCCAACAGGAGCUCUGUGAGUGCUACCUAGCAGAAUUAUAGCAGUGUUCGCUGGAAAUUGUUCUAUGUAUCAUCUCCUAUAAUUAUGCACUUACAGAGUCACCUCUCAAGCCCUGGAAAAAUGUGAGGAAAACAAAGCCAAAGAAUAUGCAUUUAAGUUUUUUAUUCAUGGUCACUUAAUUCUUAUUUUCAGGUCAAAUUUAGUUAGGUUAUUUUAGAAAGAUGUGAAGUCUUUUUGUCUUUCAUACACAACUACCAACUUCUCUUUUUAUUUUCAUCUUCCUCUGUCCUUUAUCUCUUCAGGCAUACUAUUGUUUAACAGUUGCUUUGUAUAAGAUACGAGCCUUGCAUGCCAACUUUGAUGUGGCAGAAUGAAUCAUGUUGCCAUUGAUCUCAGCCUGAACAGAACAGCCAUCUUCAAAUAGGAAGUUUCUAGCUUCAGGUUGUUUCAGCCCCGCAUGCCUUGCCUAGCCUGCCGUGUAAAGUCAGUUGCUUCACUCCAAACAGCACUGUAUUAAUAUGCACAACAUGACCAUUUUCAGUAGAAGGUUAUUAGAAUGCUAGUUUGUAUCCUCUAGUGAAUGAAAUGAUGUGUGAUUAUGAAGUCAUCAGGCAUGGACCAGUAAGACUCCAGAGAGCCUGCCCCCUCUGAGGUCCUCAGGGUGCCAUUGAUUGGUGGCCAUGUGUUUGUGCCCGAUAGACUGUGAAAUGGUGUGUUGCUACACGGCUGUGUUGCACCUGCGCCCCACCGAGGUUUGAAGACCUGAAGGAGCAAGCAGUGUCAUUUCUGAAAUAAUUUUAGUAAUGUCGCCUUCCCUGAGCAGCCUAUCCUUGGUAGUUCUCUCCUUGAUAGCACUUCAUCAAAGAGAACAGAGACAGAAAAGAAAAGGAGUUCCAAUUUUUUCCAUUUUCUUUUUACUUGUUAUCAUCACUGAAUGGCUAAGUAUUUCAUAAGAUUGGACUUUGAUGCUUAUGUCUUAAAUAUUGCAGCACUAUCA